UUCUUCGUUCCCCCAAAUCACACACCAGUUGCCUCCCCAGAUCCUCGAUUGACGUCGUCUCCUCUCCGCCAGUCGCCGGACCACCUCCUCAGCAACGCCGAACCACUAGAUAUUUAUGUGCGGGUGGUGGUUGUGCCCAGAUCUUUAUUUGCGGCGCCCUUUUCAUACCAAUGCGUCUUCUCGCCUCGAUAGUUUACUGGAGGCAAAAGCCAAGCAAGGGGUUCAGAUUUAAUCCUGAUUUACAGAGAGCUUGCUCUUGCUCUGAAUAUUAAUAGUUUUUAUAGUAAGAAAAAGCUCGGCACUUCACGAGAACAUAAAAUUUCUACGUCAUCCGGAUCAUUUCUCUAGUAGUGUCUAUCUAUGGUAACUUGGUCUCAUCAUGAGAAACUGGUUAGCCCAGCAGGCGGCCUCGUGUUCCAUUUUCUUUUAAAAAAUCAAAAUAUGAACCUCUAGUUUUCGACAUGCUAAUGAGAGGGUUAGUUGAUGAGCAAGGGAGCUUGAAUGUAACAACAUGCACCCUACCAUGAAGUCGUGUGAUUGAGAAUGGUGGGAGACACAGGAACGAGGUAACCAAGUUGUUUCAUCAGAUGAAACGGAACAGGCUGGUCCUCGUGUCGCAUGUCGCUGCCAGGUCAACUUUAUUAGAUCCCUAACAUAUGUACAUUAAUAUUUGUAUACCAUUGAUAUGUUUUAAAAUUUAAUAAUUUGGUUAUAAUUCUUCAUAGGUUAUAAGGAGUGUGAGUCUGUGGUCAGUUGAAUUGUAUUAACUUAUGUCCACUAACAAUCAGAAUAUCACAGUCGAACUUACUUUUAUUAUGAUACUUCUCUUGCAAAAGCAAGUUAUGAGAUGAUUAGCUUUGGUCUGGUUCGUUUUUCAUUUGUGGCUCCUACAAUUUUAAUCAUUGUAUUGAAAAAACAUUAAACUUUCGUUGUUUCAAUUUCAGGUAUUUGUGGCCAGUGCGAACUGACCCAUUUUGGCCUAUUUUUUCUCGAAAUAUAUAUGUUGUGACCCGUAUCGUUUUUUGUGUUAGGUUUGGUUAUGUUUGAAUUAGUUGGAUUUUUAUCGUGUUGCAUUCGGUUAUGUUGGAUGAUUUGGAUCUUUAGUAUGACUUUUUAAUAUUUAUUGUUAUGUUUGAAUUAUUAUGUUAUAUGGUUUGUGUAUUUAUUUUUAGUUUCAAUUUUUUAUAUUUAUGAAAUUUGAAUAUAAUAUUU
rnacentral:lncRNA from 1 species